AGGACGAACGCUGGCGGCGUGCUUAACACAUGCAAGUGGAGCGACGAACCAGGGCAACCUGGGGCAAAGCCGCGAACGGGUGAGUAACACGUGGGUUACCUGCCCCGAUGAUUGGGACAACCCGAGGAAACUCGGGCUAAUACCAAAUGUGCCCCUUGGCCUCAAGGCCUCUGGGGAAAGGAAGCUUCGGCCUCCGCAUCGGGAUGGGCCCGCGGCCCAUUAGCUUGUUGGUGAGGUAAUGGCUCACCAAGGCUACGAUGGGUAGCUGGUCUGAGAGGACGAUCAGCCACACUGGGACUGAGACACGGCCCAGACUCCUACGGGAGGCAGCAGUGGGGAAUCUUGCGCAAUGCGCGAAAGCGUGACGCAGCAACGCCGCGUGGGGGAAGAAGGCCUUCGGGUUGUAAACCCCUUUCAGUUGGGACGAAGCUUCGCCGGUGACAGCCGGCUGGAGUGACGGUACCUUCAGAAGAAGCCCCGGCUAACUACGUGCCAGCAGCCGC
rnacentral:rRNA from 1 species